CGCGUCAGGUCCGGAAGGCAG
rnacentral:SRP_RNA from 14 species